AGAAUCAACGCUGGCGGCGUGCCUAACACAUGCAAGUCGCACGAGAAAGGGACUUCGGUCCUGAGUACAGUGGCGCACGGGUGAGUAACACGUGAAUAAUCUACCUCCGAGUGGGGAAUAACUGAGAGAAAUCUUAGCUAAUACCGCAUAACACUUACGAGUCAAAGCAGCAAUGCGCUUGGAGAGGAGUUCGCGGCAGAUUAGUUAGUUGGCGGGUAAUGGCCCACCAAGACGAUGAUCU
rnacentral:rRNA from 1 species